rnacentral:lncRNA from 1 species
CCCAUGGCUAUCCCCAUCUGGGUCUGGCAGAAGUUCUCCUCCAGUUGUGCAUGCGCUUGUGCGGCGUCUCAGCGGACCAGCGCUGGCACUGGACACCCUUGCGGGUCUUGCUGACCGUGCCGCGGUACUGCUCCCCCGCGCCGUGGUAGCAGUCUGCGGCCGGUGCGGGCAGCCAUCAGGCCGAGACCUCGCCCCGGCCCUCCGGUUCCAGGCUUCCAGCCCCGGCUCUGUAGCCCCCAAGCUUGGGCCUCACCCUGGGGCCGCACGUCGUCUGUACAACGCCGGAUCUGGUAGCAAAAGCCCACGCGCGUGCCGGGCCGCAGGGUGAAGCACCAGGGCGCCUCUGAGCCGUCGAGGUUCCAGCAGAAGUUCUCCCGAAGGUCUCUAAGCAGGCGCUCCACUCAGCCCUAGCCCGCCAGCCUCCAGCCCUAAGCCCGUGACUACCCUCCUCCCGUCUCACCCGCAGCAGCACGUCCCAACGCCCGCCCCCCCGCCCACCUCACUUGCACGCGUAUUUUUCUGGCGUAAAUCGGUGCUGAUGUGGGAUUUGCGCGUCCCAACGCUGGCAAGGUACGCCGCGGUGGUGGUAUUGGCUGUGCCCCGGUAGCCCUCACCCUUCCCGCGGAAGCAGCUGACACUUGUGGCCUCUUGGCGGGGCUGUGCCUCGGACCCUUAGAUGGACCGAGAUAGGUCGGGCCCCGAGCGACAGCUGAGAUCCCUCUGGGGCUGGGACCAAACCCGCCUUUCCCAGGUGUACGGUACUCCACGGGAUAUGCUCUCAGGUCACGCCCAGCCCCUCUGACCUCCCCGGCCAAGCCACGCCCCUCCCCAAGGUUCCCAGGUACCCUCCCAGGCCUGGUCCCCGCCGCCUACCGCAGCGGGGGAGGUCACAGAACUCUCGCUCGAUCUGCGGAUCCGUAGUGUAGCACCAUGGCCGCUCGGAGCCGUCAGGAUUCCGGCAAUAGUUGUCGUCCAGACCUUGGUCGAGGAACCUGGGGGCGGUAAUGGGGCGUGAAGAAGACCCUGGUACUCUGGC